rnacentral:rRNA from 1 species
GACAGAGGUGCCAAGCGUUAGGCGGAAUCACUGGGCUUAAAGCGUGUGUAGGCGGGUGCCUAAGUACCUUGUGAAAUCCCACGGCUUAACCGUGGAACUGCUUGGUAUACUGCUUAUCUUGGGCCAUCUAGGGGCGAGCGGAACAAACGGUGGAGCGGUGAAAUGCGUAGAUAUCGUUUGGAACGCCAAUGGUGAAAACAGCUCGCUGGGGAUGUGCCGACGCUGAGACACGAAAGCCAGGGGAGCGAACGGGG